AUGCUAUUAAUUGGGAGGAGACUCCCAGAAGUACGUUUAAGAAAUCAGGUGGUGAGGAAAUCACCUUCAUAGACUACUACAAGGAGGUCUAACAGAUGAAAUGCAUAAAGACUACAGAGUGAAGAGAGACAUGGCUAUGCAUACAAGGUUGGAUCCAGAAAAAAAGGCAGCAUGAAUUACAAAGAUUCAUGAAUAUUGUACAAAAAAAUAAGAGUGCACAAAAGGAACUCCAACUUUGGGAUUUGAAAUUUGACCCCAACUUCGUGUCCUUCUCAGGAAGAAUUAUGAAA